UUAAGCGACUAAGCGUACACGGUGGAUGCCCUGGCAGUCAGAGGCGAUGAAGGACGUGCUAAUCUGCGAUAAGCGUCGGUAAGGUGAUAUGAACCGUUAUAACCGGCGAUUUCCGAAUGGGGAAACCCAGUGUGAUUCGUCACACUAUCAUUAACUGAAUCCAUAGGUUAAUGAGGCGAACCGGGGGAACUGAAACAUCUAAGUACCCCGAGGAAAAGAAAUCAACCGAGAUUCCCCCAGUAGCGGCGAGCGAACGGGGAGGAGCCCAGAGCCUGAAUCAGUAUGUGUGUUAGUGGAAGCGUCUGGAAAGGCGUGCGAUACAGGGUGACAGCCCCGUACACAAAAAUGCACAUGCUGUGAGCUCGAUGAGUAGGGCGGGACACGUGGUAUCCUGUCUGAAUAUGGGGGGACCAUCCUCCAAGGCUAAAUACUCCUGACUGACCGAUAGUGAACCAGUACCGUGAGGGAAAGGCGAAAAGAACCCCGGCGAGGGGAGUGAAAAAGAACCUGAAACCGUGUACGUACAAGCAGUGGGAGCCUCUUUAAUGGGGUGACUGCGUACCUUUUGUAUAAUGGGUCAGCGACUUAUAUUCUGUAGCAAGGUUAACCGAAUAGGGGAGCCGAAGGGAAACCGAGUCUUAACUGGGCGUUAAGUUGCAGGGUAUAGACCCGAAACCCGGUGAUCUAGCCAUGGGCAGGUUGAAGGUUGGGUAACACUAACUGGAGGACCGAACCGACUAAUGUUGAAAAAUUAGCGGAUGACUUGUGGCUGGGGGUGAAAGGCCAAUCAAACCGGGAGAUAGCUGGUUCUCCCCGAAAGCUAUUUAGGUAGCGCCUCGUGAAUUCAUCUCCGGGGGUAGAGCACUGUUUCGGCAAGGGGGUCAUCCCGACUUACCAACCCGAUGCAAACUGCGAAUACCGGAGAAUGUUAUCACGGGAGACACACGGCGGGUGCUAACGUCCGUCGUGAAGAGGGAAACAACCCAGACCGCCAGCUAAGGUCCCAAAGUCAUGGUUAAGUGGGAAACGAUGUGGGAAGGCCCAGACAGCCAGGAUGUUGGCUUAGAAGCAGCCAUCAUUUAAAGAAAGCGUAAUAGCUCACUGGUCGAGUCGGCCUGCGCGGAAGAUGUAACGGGGCUAAACCAUGCACCGAAGCUGCGGCAGCGACACUAUGUGUUGUUGGGUAGGGGAGCGUUCUGUAAGCCGUUGAAGGUGUGCUGUGAGGCAUGCUGGAGGUAUCAGAAGUGCGAAUGCUGACAUAAGUAACGAUAAAGCGGGUGAAAAGCCCGCUCGCCGGAAGACCAAGGGUUCCUGUCCAACGUUAAUCGGGGCAGGGUGAGUCGACCCCUAAGGCGAGGCCGAAAGGCGUAGUCGAUGGGAAACAGGUUAAUAUUCCUGUACUUGGUGUUACUGCGAAGGGGGGACGGAGAAGGCUAUGUUGGCCGGGCGACGGUUGUCCCGGUUUAAGCGUGUAGGCUGAUUUUCCAGGCAAAUCCGGAGAAUCAAGGCUGAGGCGUGAUGACGAGGCACUACGGUGCUGAAGCAACAAAUGCCCUGCUUCCAGGAAAAGCCUCUAAGCAUCAGGUAACAUCAAAUCGUACCCCAAACCGACACAGGUGGUCAGGUAGAGAAUACCAAGGCGCUUGAGAGAACUCGGGUGAAGGAACUAGGCAAAAUGGUGCCGUAACUUCGGGAGAAGGCACGCUGAUAUGUAGGUGAAGCGACUUGCUCGUGGAGCUGAAAUCAGUCGAAGAUACCAGCUGGCUGCAACUGUUUAUUAAAAACACAGCACUGUGCAAACACGAAAGUGGACGUAUACGGUGUGACGCCUGCCCGGUGCCGGAAGGUUAAUUGAUGGGGUCAGCCGCAAGGCGAAGCUCUUGAUCGAAGCCCCGGUAAACGGCGGCCGUAACUAUAACGGUCCUAAGGUAGCGAAAUUCCUUGUCGGGUAAGUUCCGACCUGCACGAAUGGCGUAAUGAUGGCCAGGCUGUCUCCACCCGAGACUCAGUGAAAUUGAACUCGCUGUGAAGAUGCAGUGUACCCGCGGCAAGACGGAAAGACCCCGUGAACCUUUACUAUAGCUUGACACUGAACAUUGAGCCUUGAUGUGUAGGAUAGGUGGGAGGCUUUGAAGUGUGGACGCCAGUCUGCAUGGAGCCGACCUUGAAAUACCACCCUUUAAUGUUUGAUGUUCUAACGUGGACCCGUGAACCGGGUUGCGGACAGUGUCUGGUGGGUAGUUUGACUGGGGCGGUCUCCUCCUAAAGAGUAACGGAGGAGCACGAAGGUUGGCUAAUCCUGGUCGGACAUCAGGAGGUUAGUGCAAUGGCAUAAGCCAGCUUGACUGCGAGCGUGACGGCGCGAGCAGGUGCGAAAGCAGGUCAUAGUGAUCCGGUGGUUCUGAAUGGAAGGGCCAUCGCUCAACGGAUAAAAGGUACUCCGGGGAUAACAGGCUGAUACCGCCCAAGAGUUCAUAUCGACGGCGGUGUUUGGCACCUCGAUGUCGGCUCAUCACAUCCUGGGGCUGAAGUAGGUCCCAAGGGUAUGGCUGUUCGCCAUUUAAAGUGGUACGCGAGCUGGGUUUAGAACGUCGUGAGACAGUUCGGUCCCUAUCUGCCGUGGGCGCUGGAGAACUGAGGGGGGCUGCUCCUAGUACGAGAGGACCGGAGUGGACGCAUCACUGGUGUUCGGGUUGUCAUGCCAAUGGCACUGCCCGGUAGCUAAAUGCGGAAGAGAUAAGUGCUGAAAGCAUCUAAGCACGAAACUUGCCCCGAGAUGAGUUCUCCCUGAGACUUUAAGUCUCCUGAAGGAACGUUGAAGACGACGACGUUGAUAGGCCGGGUGUGUAAGCGCAGCGAUGCGUUGAGCUAACCGGUACUAAUGAACCGUGAGGCUUAACCUU
rnacentral:rRNA from 2 species